rnacentral:rRNA from 1 species
UACGAGGGGCCCAAACGUUAUUCGGAAUUACUGGGCUUAAAGAGUUCGUAGGCGGCGCAGAAAGUAGGGUGUGAAAGCCCUCGGCUCAACCGAGGAAUUGCGCUCUAAACUACUGUGCUUGAGGAAUCUAGAGGUGAGCGGAACUGAUGGUGGAGCGGUGAAAUGCGUUGAUAUCAUCAGGAACACCGGAGGCGAAGGCGGCUCACUGGGGAUUUUCUGACGCUGAGGAACGAAAGCCAGGGGAGCGAACGGG